GACGAACGCUGGCGGCGUGCCUAAUACAUGCAAGUAGAACGCACAGUUUAUACCGUAGCUUGCUACACCAUAGACUGUGAGUUGCGAACGGGUGAGUAACGCGUAGGUAACCUGCCUGGUAGCGGGGGAUAACUAUUGGAAACGAUAGCUAAUACCGCAUAAUAUUGAUUAUUGCAUGAUAAUUGAUUGAAAGAUGCUAUUGCAUCACUACUAGAUGGACCUGCGUUGUAUUAGCUAGUAGGUGAGGUAACGGCUCACCUAGGCGACGAUACAUAGCCGACCUGAGAGGGUGAUCGGCCACACUGGGACUGAGACACGGCCCAGACUCCUACGGGAGGCAGCAGUAGGGAAUCUUCGGCAAUGGACGAAAGUCUGACCGAGCAACGCCGCGUGAGUGAAGAAGGUUUUCGGAUCGUAAAGCUCUGUUGUAAGAGAAGAACGGGUGUGAGAGUGGAAAGUUCACACUGUGACGGUAUCUUACCAGAAAGGGACGGCUAACUACGUG
rnacentral:rRNA from 1 species